UACGUAGGGUGCGAGCGUUAAUCGGAAUUACUGGGCGUAAAGCGUGCGUAGGCGGCCAUGAAAGUAGGGUGUGAAAUCCCACAGCUCAACUGUGGAACUGCGCUCUAAACUACAUGGCUAGAGGGAUAUAGAGGUGAGCGGAAUUGAUGGUGGAGCGGUGAAAUGCGUUGAUAUCAUCAGGAACACCGGAGGCGAAGGCGGCUCACUGGGUAUCUUCUGACGCUGAGGUACGAAAGCUAGGGGAGCGAACGGG
rnacentral:rRNA from 1 species